CCUACGGGUGGGCAGCAGUGGGGAAUAUUGCACAAUGGGGGGAACCCUGAUGCAGCAAUGCCGCGUGAAGGAUGAAGGUUUUCGGAUUGUAAACUUCUUUUGUACGGGACGAAGAAAGUGACGGUACCGUAAGAAUAAGCCACGGCUAACUACGUGCCAGCAGCCGCGGUAAUACGUAGGUGGCAAGCGUUAUCCGGAUUUAUUGGGUUUAAAGGGAGCGUAGGCCGGCUUUUAAGUCAGCUGUGAAAGUCCGCGGCUCAACCGUGGAAUUGCAGUUGAAACUGGAGGCCUUGAGUGCACACAGGGAUGCCGGAAUUCAUGGUGUAGCGGUGAAAUGCUUAGAUAUCAUGAAGAACUCCGAUCGCGAAGGCAAGUGUCCGGGGUGCAACUGACGCUGAGGCUCGAAAGUGCGGGUAUCAAACAGGAUUAGAUACCCUUGUAGUC
rnacentral:rRNA from 1 species